AGCGAACGCUGGCGGCAUGCUUAACACAUGCAAGUCGCACGGUCAGCAAUGGCAGUGGCGGACGGGUGAGUAACACGUAGGAAUCUAUCCCAGGGUGGGGGACAACAGCGGGAAACUGCUGCUAAUACCGCAUGAUACCUGAGGGUCAAAGGCGCAAGUCGCCUUGGGAGGAGCCUGCGUCUGAUUAGCUUGUUGGUGGGGUAAAGGCCUACCAAGGCGACGAUCAGUAGCUGGUCUGAGAGGAUGAUCAGCCACAUUGGGACUGAGACACGGCCCAAACUCCUACGGGAGGCAGCAGUGGGGAAUAUUGGACAAUGGGGGAAACCCUGAUCCAGCAAUGCCGCGUGUGUGAAGAAGGUCUUCGGAUUGUAAAGCACUUUUGGCAGGGACGAUGAUGACGGUACCUGCAGAAUAAGCCCCGGCUAACUUCGUGC
rnacentral:rRNA from 1 species